GAUGAAGAACGUAGCAAAAUGCGAUAAGUAAUGUGAAUUGCAGAAUUCAGUGAAUCAUCGAAUCUUUGAACGCACAUUGCGCCCGCCAGUAUUCUGGCGGGCAUGCCUGUUCGAGCGUCAUUUCAACCCUCAAGCACAGCUUGGUGUUGGGACUCGCGUUAAUUCGCGUUCCCCAAAUUGAUUGGCGGUCACGUCGAGCUUCCAUAGCGUAGUAGUAAAACCCUCGUUACUGGUAAUCGUCGCGGCCACGCCGUUAAACCCCAACUUCUGAAUGUUGACCUCGGAUCAGGUAGGAAUACCCGCUGAACUUAAGCAUAUCAAUAAGCGGA
rnacentral:misc_RNA from 1 species